ACUAUGCCGUAGAGCAGUGAACAAUGGCCCACACCUCAUGGGGCUCACAUUCCAAUGGGGGAGACAAUAAAGUCAACACAUAGCAAGGCAGCCAGUGAGGCAACAAAGCACGGAGGGUGGGCUGGAAGGGGCUGUGGUUUUAUUUAGGACGGUCGGUGAAGACCCCCCUCCCCUGGGGAGAAGUUGACCUUUGAGAAUAGACUGUAAGGAGGGAGCAAGACAUUUAGGUAUUUGGAGGAGAGUCUUUCAGACUGAAGGGGUAGCUAGUGCAAAUGUCCUGGGGCAGGAGUGGCCCAUUUGCUUGAGGAAGAAGAGGAAGGUUCAUGAAGCUGAAGCCAAGAGUGUGUAAGGGGCCGAGAAAUCUAUGAGAGAGAAGGUCUGGGGCCAGAUCCUGAGAUUAUGAGGCCAUUAGAAAGAUGGGAAAUCACUGGAGGAUUAUGAGCAAGAAAUAGGUUGAUGUGACUUUUGUUAAAACACUGUUCUCCCAUCUGCUGGUUAAGGAACAGGUCAGGGUGUGCAGGUGGCAGCAGGCGGAGGAGUUGGCACAUCUCAGCUGUAAACCAAGGGGAGGUGACGAGACCGUGGACAGGGCGGACCACUGAGGGGUGAGAAGUGGUGAAUGUGUUUAAAAUAUAUUUUAAAAAUGGAACCAACACCCUUGCUGCUGGACUGGAUGUGGGCCGUGAGCCAAGGAAAGGAGAGAGGACCAUUGCAGAUAUUUGGAGUCUCUUUUUGGCUGAGUAGCUUGGAAGAUGAUGUGCCCUGGACUGGGAUAGGGAAGAUGUGGGAAGGGCAGAGGGAACGUGAGGGCACUUGUAUCGGGCAUAUUAACCUUGAGUUAAUGUGUGUACUGAGCUCUUCCUCUGCAUCAGGCACUGGGCAAAGCAUCUUACAGAUAGCGUCCCGUUUAAUCCUACAACAGUGCUAUUGUCAUCUCAUUUUAGAUCUAAGAAAAUGGGCAGCUGUGGCCAUUCACAGCCUGACAAGACCUCCUGCAACAGCAGCAAAAAUAGAUCUUUCCCGUCUAAUUGUUCUGCCCUAACUGCACGGUCAUGGUUGGUACUGGCUCGUCACACUGUUAAUGAAGAGAUGAGUUUUAUCCUUGCUGUCACUGAACAGGGAGAGAUUAUCAGCUUUGUUCUGCUCCUGGAGCCCCGUCGAUGCUCCAUAGACACUCGAAUGACUGAGUGAGUGAGCUUGCGGAACGUGUGGACACCGACCACAGGCUGGGCUGAGUACAUUUCCUGCCUGCGAGUGGGGAGGCCCGGGAGCAGGGCGGAGGGUGGCGUCCGUCCAUCUAUUGGGCACAUGACAGGUUCGGGGGCGAGUGAGCUUGAAAACCAAGGGCAUGGAUGGUUCACGGUGAGCAACUGGGCUUCAUAACUAGAAGCAUCAGAAAUAGAAAAUCUGAGUCAGCACCUGAAUCAGGUGAGCAGCGUCAGGCAAAGUAUGAGUCGUGGGGUGGGGGAGGAGGGGGCAGUUCAUGGCUAAUCUGUGGGACUGGGUGUGCUUUGCUGUUAGCAGUGGGGAGAGCCUUGCUAGCUGGGGGAGUCCUAAAGAGGUCAGCGGUGCGCGCUGAAAAACAGAGAGGUGGGAAGAGCCCCAGGUGUUCCGUUCAAGAAGUGUGUUCGUUACCUGUUGGCUGAGUAACGAAUCACCCCAACCGGAGUGGCCCACGACCACCAUGUUGAUGUACGACGUCUCACAGUCCAGGAGCAGCCGGUGACAUCUUGGAGGCUCGUCGCUGCAGUCCGACUGUCAGAAGCCUGUGCCCACGGCUGGCCCUGAUUCAGGGGCAGAGAAGCAGGCUCACCUUUCUCUGGGAGGUGAAUCCAAGAAUGUGCUGGCAUGUUUUACAACCGCACAGAGGCAUGUGACGUGGUCUGGGGAUCUCAUAAUUAUCCCCUCCUGAUUAUCCAGGAGACUUGUCAUCUAUCCAGUGGAAAGUUUCUUGGUCCCUGUGAUGGUUGGCGAUUCGUGUUGGUUGGGCAGGGGGGAUAAUGUGACGUGCAGACAAGUUGGCUACGUAAUUUCUGAGUCUAAAUGCCGUGUCAGUGUUAUUACCAGGAAACCCCAGGCCUGGAAACACUUUUUUUCUGGACUCAGGAGGAUAUAUAUGAGAGCAGAAUGUAAAGUAGUCUGUAUCCACAGGGAUACAAAAUGAGCUAGGAAGUCAGAAAAAGUAAGGAGAUGGAGCUGGAGAGGAGAAAGUGGCCUUGACACUGUUGUGUUUUUGACUUGAUACAGUAGCAGAAAAUUCCGAGUCUUUGAGAGACAGCAAUAUUCUGGACCACUUACACUAAUCAGCUGCCUCCGUGACUGUUAAAACCAAGAGUGACACCAGUCCUUGCAAAGUCAGACCACUCAUGCUAUUGACCCCGGUGUGAAGGCUCUUGGGGUUCUGUGUGUGGAAACUGGACUGUAGAUAAUUGUUUUGUUAGAGGGGAAUUGGGAGUUUAGUGAAUAUGGUCACUAAAUAUAAGUGAAUUAGUGAAUUCAAGUGUAUUUCCAAGUGGAGUUUGAAAGCCUCCUGUACGGACAUUGAUUGCACCAUGGGAUGUUUGCCUGAUGCCAACUAAUUAGAAAAGUCCAUUCUGGGCUUGGCUUGAGUGAGCCCAGGGAAGCAUAAAAUGUGUCACUGUAGCUGGUACCCUGGAUUCCCAGGAUAACUCGUCAUCUCCUUACACUUGGUUGAGUUUAUUCCACACACAGACCUUCACUAAAGGCCACCAUGUUCCACCAUGUGAAGCAAUUGCCAACAUGUUGUGGCGCCAGCAACUGGAGUUCUUAUCUGUGGAGGUUAAACAAUUAAAGAGGAGCCUCAGUGUCACUGGAAGCAAUUCCUUGGACCAUUUGCCACUGUCUGCAAAGAAGUCCAGACACCACUGCUGCAGCGUCGACUGGCUAGCAAAGAUUCGUUUAGGCUGGGGGACUUGCCAUUUUGGGGUCCAGCAUUAUGACCGACUCCUCAGUGUCUCGGGCUGGGCAGAUUCCCAUGAGGGCAGACCCCAGACCCACAUCUCUUAGUGUGUGAUGGUGUUCAGUUGAAAAACUGGGCUCAAUAAAAAAGUUUAUUUUUUGAAACAAGAUUUCUCAAAGCCUUUAAUAUGCCAGCAUGCCUCGUGAAGGACAGGAAGCAUUUUCACAUCCUUUGUGACCAUCGGAACCAUUUUCCCUGAGAUCACUUUGGAUGACUGUUUUCCAGCAGCAACUUUGGAAUACACAAGCCUAGACUAGAACUGCUUAGAGUGUGGCCCUUCACCUGGUGGUCUCCAAUGGGGUUGGGGUGCCACCUCUGCGGAGUGUUGUGAGAAUUCAGUAUAAAGCACGUGGUACAGUGUUGGACAAGCGGGGACGUUCAAAGAGAAUCGUCCCAAAGUGACGGGAAGCAGUCCCUGGAGCUCACUGCAGCUCAGUCGGGCCCCUCAUCUGCUGGGAGGAGGCUGGUUUUCCUCCUGUCUUCUCCCCAGUAUCCCUGGCCGCAGGGUGGGUUCUUUGCCAGGGGAGUCGUGGAGCUCCAAGGAACCUGAGCUCUACCUUGGAAAUUGGCCUCUGUGUCCACGUGAGGAAGUGCUUCUUCAAGAAACGGAUGGCACAUAUUCUAUUUAAGAAUUUGUUGGCUCAAUUUAUUAUUUUAAAAUACAUGUCCACAUAGAAUGUAGUCCUCUGUCUGUGACCUUGUGCCAGAGCCCACACAUGUUCAGGGCGGUCUAUUAAAUUCCCCUUGUGUAUUUACCUUUGAAAUCAUGAAAAUGUUUUACAUAAUGAUGACAUGAAAUUGUAUUUUAAUGUGUGCUUCCUAAACGUUGAAAGCAAAGAGAAACAGCUGAGCAGAACUGGGUCUUGGACCAGUGGCGUAACUAUCCCAAAAGAGACUGUUUUAGGUGACUAUAAAAUGCAAUUGUUUGACACUACGUCCCUGCUUGGGCUGUAUUCUGAGGAUAAAAAGAACUGCGAAACAUUUUAAGAACUGUAUCCAGUGACUCUGUGGUUUGCGGUGGCAUUAGGCAUUUUCAUUCUGAAAUGAUCGUGUGUACGUUGUGUAAUAAAGCGCAGGAGUGCUUCCAUUUGCCUCCCGGAAGCUCCAACCCCAGCCUCGCGCUGCCUUUGUAGACAAGCCCCUGAGUCUCGUGUGCCGGGACCCAGAUUCUCCCGAUGAGAGCAGGGCCGGCAGACCCCAUUGCGGAGGUUGUCCCAGUGCCGACCCCGGCGCUGUUGUGAAGGUGAAUGACUUAGUUCUCGUGACAGGUGUUUAGUCAUGUUAGCAUCCCUGUUCCCUGCCUGUCUGUAUCAGGACUGGUAGCCACAUUAGGGCUCCGGGGUAAAUGUUUGCUGUUUGAUUAAAUGUAUCCUUUCCUGCUGCCCAACUUCAAAUGAAAACACUUCAAAAAUAAUGUCUGAAAAGCACCAUCCUUGCUGGGUGUUUACAUCUGGGUCCAAUCAGGAGGCAGAAACCGUACAAUAAUUUGAACAAGGGUCAUUCACUAUAAGAAAUUAUG